UCGAGAAUUUUUCACAAUGGGGGAAACCCUGAUGGAGCGACGCCGCGUGGAGGAUGAAGGUUUUCGGAUUGUAAACUCCUGUCAUGAGGGAACAAGAAAGUGAUAGUACCUCAAGAGGAAGAGACGGCUAACUCUGUGCCAGCAGCCGCGGUAAUACAGAGGUCUCAAGCGUUGUUCGGAUUCAUUGGGCGUAAAGGGUGCGCAGGCUGCGUGGUAAGUCGGGUGUGAAAUUUAGGGGCUCAACCCCUAACCUGCAUUCGAUACUGCCAUGCUAGAGGACUGUAGAGGAGAUUGGAAUUCACGGUGUAGCAGUGAAAUGCGUAGAUAUCGUGAGGAAGACCAGUGGCGAAGGCGAAUCUCUGGGCAGUUCCUGACGCUCAUGCACGAAGGCCAGGGGAGCAAACGGG
rnacentral:rRNA from 1 species